rnacentral:lncRNA from 1 species
AUUUUUUUUCAGUUGUUGCACAGAAGUUUAAAUGUAGAUUUUGCAGUUUCAUGCAGCAUUUUGUAGUUUAUUUCUGAUAUUAAAAGAGAUUUUAUUCAUUGUAAAAAAGGGAAAGAGCCUUUGUUAUAUUUCAUAGACAAUAUUAUUUUAACCAAGACCAGAGACAUAUUAUUAGUUACACAGUGUGCAAUUGUCCUAAUACAAGAAUUUAUCGGGUCAAUAAAAUUCAUAUCGGGUGAGGCGAAGCCAAACCCAAUAUGAAUUUUAUUGACCCGAUAAAUUCCGUAUUAGGACAAUUGAACACUGUGUAAUGAAUUUAUCCUGAUUUUGUUGUAUUACAUAUUAUUAUAUUCAAAUUCAAUGUUAGGACAAUAUCAAUAAAUAUAUUUUAGAUAUUAAAUAAAAAAAUGUGAAAAAUAAAAAAUAUUAUGGGUACAAAGCAACUCAAUUGUUUUUUGUUUUUUUUUUAUUAGGUCAAUGAUAUAAGGGAGAUAAUUCCAAUUGACGUAAUAAAUAAGGGAGAUAAUUCCAAUUGACGUGAUAAAAAAUUGUAUUGAAAUUUAUUAGGACAAUAUCAGCCAAUCAAAUUGCGAGAAAUUACUCUAAAUCAGGAUAAAAUUAUAUGUCUCUGCCAAGAC